ensembl:lncRNA
UAAAUGCCCUGUGAAGACCAGCAGAGCCUUUGAGCCUCUUUGGAUUUCUGAAGUCAAUUCAGGGUGAACUGAACAUCCCUUUUAGAGGAUGCAAGUAAAAGAACCGAGCAGAACCCUCCCACUGGAAGAUGAGAACGACAAGAAAUCGACACUUUAGCUUUGGGGACUUUCUACUUAUGUGAAGAAAAAUUAUUGUAAACUACCAAAAAAGAUCUUCUAGAAAAUCUCUAAGUAGAAGGGCUGCUUUCCCAAGUUUGGUUGGUUUUAGAGGAUUAAAAAAAAAAAAGAUUGAUGACUUCCCUGGUGGUCCAAUAGUUAGGAAUCCACCUGCCUGUGCAGGGGACAUGAAUUCGAUCUCUGGUCUGGGAAGGUUCCACAUGCUGCGGGGCAACUAAGCCCACGUGGUGCAAAUACUGAAGCCUGUGCGCCUGGAGCCUGUGCUCCACAACAAGGAAAGCCGCUGCAGUGAGAAGCCUGUGCCCUGCAACGAAGUGUAGCCCCCACUGGCUGCAACUAGAGAAAGUCUGUCCAUACACAAAGACCCAGUGCAGACAAU